rnacentral:tRNA from 1 species
AUUCUUCUAGUUUAAAAUAAAAAACGUUGAUUUGUGACAUCAAAGAUAUAAAUAUUAUGUAGAAUU